AUACCUUUCUCGGCCUUUUGGCUAAGAUCAAGUGUAGUAGUAUCUGUUUUUAUCAGUUUAGUAUCUGAUAUGUGGUCCGAUAUUAACUUUAUUUUUUGAGAGAGAAAGCCCAUUAAGAUAGCUUGCUACCUGCGCGAGUCGCCCAUGCGUUGCACUUUUGCAUGGGCUGGCUUAACCCAC
rnacentral:snRNA from 1 species